rnacentral:lncRNA from 1 species
UCUUCAAAAAAGAUCCUUAAGACAUUUAAUUUGAGUCAUCUCACUUAUAUGUUAUUCAACUUCAACUUUUCAUUCAUUUUGGAACUUUUGAGAUUAUAAAAUUUUAUGGGCUCUAGAGAACACGCCAUUAAUAUGGCCAAGGAGGAGAUAAUUAAAAGAGUUAUAAAAUCACCACAAUCUUCUAUCUCUUUCUCUAUCACUGCCAAUUCUUGAGAAGGAGAAACAAGUGAAAGAGCAGGCUGCAAUGUGUAUGCAUCCAAAACAUGUAACAAAACUUUCAUUUCAUUUCACUGCAAAAGAAAAGAAAAAAUGUGGAACGGGUCCUUCAUGAAAACCUUUC